rnacentral:lncRNA from 1 species
AGACCUGGAAAGGUGUCCCUCUCCAUCUCUGACAAACAAUCCAUUUGAACAGAGCUCUCUGAAGUGUCACUCCAGGUAUGAAGGGGUGGAGAAGAAAACUUUGAGCUUUGACUGCAUGGCAACAGAUGCACCAAAAUCCAUGCAGGAGUGAAAUCCUGCUGGGGUCAUCAUUGGAAUUCAGAGACAGCUGACUCCCGUUGAAAACCUGAGAAUAUUUUGC